rnacentral:rRNA from 1 species
GAUGAACGCUGGCGGCGUGCCUAAUACAUGCAAGUCGAGCGAACAGAUGAGGAGCUUGCUCCUCUGACGUUAGCGGCGGACGGGUGAGUAACACGUGGAUAACCUACCUAUAAGACUGGGAUAACUUCGGGAAACCGGAGCUAAUACCGGAUAAUAUAUUGAACCGCAUGGUUCAAUAGUGAAAGACGGUUUUGCUGUCACUUAUAGAUGGAUCCGCGCCGCAUUAGCUAGUUGGUAAGGUAACGGCUUAACAAGGCAACGAUGCGUAGCCGACCUGAGAGGGUGAUCGGCCACACUGGAACUGAGACACGGUCCAGACUCCGACGGGAGGCAGCAGUAGGGAAUCUUCCGCGAUGGGCGAAAGCCUGACGGAGCAACGCCGCGUGAGUGAUGAAGGUCUUCGGAUCGUAAAACUCUGUUAUUAGGGAAGAACAAAUGUGUAAGUAACUAUGCACGUCUUGACGGUACCUAAUCAGAAAGCCACGGCUAACUACGUG